GACGAACGCUGGCGGCGUGCCUAAUACAUGCAAGUCGAACGAGUUGCGAACGGGUGAGUAACGCGUGGUAACCUGCCUCAUAGCAGGGGAUAACUAUUGGAAACGAUAGCUAAUACCGCCUACUUUGAGCUGGACCUGCGUUGUAUUAGCUAGUUGGUGAGGUAAAGGCUCACAAAGGCGACGAUACAUAGCCGACCUGAGAGGGUGAUCGGCCACACUGGAACUGAGACACGGUCCAGACUCCUACGGGAGGCAGCAGUGGGGAAUAUUGGACAAUGGGCGCAAGCCUGAUGCAGCCAUGCCGCGUGUAUGAAGAAGGCCUUCGGGUUGUAAAGUACUUUCAGCGGGGAGGCGUUACCCGCAGAAGAAGCACCGGCUAACUCCGUGCCAGCAGCCGCGGUAAUAC
rnacentral:rRNA from 1 species